rnacentral:rRNA from 1 species
GAUGAACGCUGGCGGCGUGCCUAAUACAUGCAAGUCGAGCGAACAGACGAGGAGCUUGCUCCUCUGACGGUAGCGGCGGACGGGUGAGUAACACGUGGAGAACCUACUUAUAAGACUGGGAUAACUUCGGGAAACCGGAGCCAAUACCGGAUAAUAUAUUGAACCGCAUGGUUCAAUAGUGAAAGACGGUUUUGCUGUCUCUUAUUGAUGGAUCCGCGCCGCAUUAGCUAGUUGGUAAGGUAACGGAUUACCAAGGCAACGAUGCGUAGCCGACCUGAGAGGGUGAUCGGCCACACUGGAAGUGAGACACGGUCCAGACUCCUACGGGAGGCAGCAGUAGGGAAUCUUCCGCAAUGGGCGAGAGCCUGACGGAGCAACGCCGCGUGAGUGAUGAAGGUCUUCGGCUCGUAAAGCUCUGUUAUUCGGGAAGAACAAAUGUGUAAGUAACUAUGCACGUCUUGACGGUACCUAAUCAGAAAGCCACGGCUAACUACGUG